CGGUUCGCCUUAAACCGGUGCCAACUAUAGUAAUUAGCACCGGUUUGAACCGGUGCCAUUUAAAAAAAAACCCGGUUUAAGGCGCGUCUUCUUCUUCAAUUCAUUUCCUUGCUCUUUCCUCUUCGUUCUCAUCUAAUCUGCCUCUCUCUCUCCUCCAUUGUAGCGUACUCGAAUUUCUCCAUUGAAGGGGCUUCUGAGCUUUCCUAACACUCCGUCUCUCUCCUUCUCCAUAACCAUCACUUUCCCUUUCCUUUCUUCUCUGUUUCGAUCUCCUUCUCCUUCUCUCUUUCUACAAUAUUGGAGGUUAAGGUUUCUGGGUGCGUCUAUUUGAAUCAAUUCGAUGUGCGUGCAUCUUCAACAACAACAAAUUCGAAUCAAUUUCGAACCAAAAAUCAGAAAUUCGAGUUCUAGAAAUGAAGUAUUUGGGUGGAAGAAGAAAAGGAGGUGUUUGUUUGGCUUCUUCAUCACAAAAUUCAAGUAAUGAUGUUGCACGAAAAAGGUCCUGCCCUUUUGGUUGAUGUACCAAGGGAUAGCAACAUAACUGGCUGUGUUCUACUGUGAUGCUGAGCUAGUCAGUGUGCUUGGGUUGUUUGACUGUUCCUGUGCCUGCUCAGAGCUUUUGUUUUUUCUGUCCUUGCUGGUUUGCUAUGGUAUGUCUUAUAACUUGAAACUAUCUUAUAAUAUUUCUUACUAUUGUUCAUCUGGCUUUAGGUUAGAGAAUCGUCUCUCAAAGCAUAAUAAGUUUCUGCAUCAUAUACGAGUUGAACAUAAGGAUCUAGUGCCACCCAUAAUCAUUUCUGAAAAUCAGUUUACAAUGAUCAGUCAACACCAAGUAGCUGCAAGGGAAUACUUGGAAGCGCAUAAACAAAUUCCAAAUUCCCCACUGACCAAUCUCUGUGUCGGUAUGUUUUAUGUAAUUUUAUCCGAAUCUGAUUAAUGUGAGUGUGCUGGUGUUGAUUCUCCAUUUAACUGAUGCAUCUUACUUUGCUGGGACUGCCUUAAUCAAUUUAGCCCUUGGACAUAGACUUCAAAACAAGCAUUAGUGUGUUGCACAAGGCUUAGCUUUCCUUUACAACAAUCUGCGACUUUGUGAAAAUAGCCAGGACUUCUCACAUUUCAGGAAGUCUUUUUGGGCUGCUGUUUUUUGUUUUGUUCUCCGUAGUUUUGGCUUUGUGUUAGGUGUUGUCCCAGUCCCUGUUUUAAGUGUAAUGCAAGAAAGGUCGAUCAGAGAUAAGUUUGGAUUAUUUAAUUUUUUUUGGACAAAAAUUGUAAUAUUACAGGCUUUAUAGCCUUUUUAAUGAAAAUAUGUAAGU